GCGGCAAGUGCUAGAAGCCCUCUUGGCUGCCCAGCACCUCGCGAGAUUGCUUCUGCCGGGACUCUUCCUUUCUCUGUGCUUUUGGUUUUCACCCCUUUUCAGUACUUGUUUAGGUGCAGUUUGAUCUGCAGUGCGAAUGAAUGGGGAACAAAUCAAGUUCCUGCGCUAAUGGUACCUAACAUAGUACCGAAUGGGAGAGAGACGCGAUGAGCGAUACGCUAUUAGAGAAGUAAGUGUUGAGAAGAAACAAAAAGAAGUGUAAGGGAUUAGGAAGUGGCAGUGGUGAUGGGACGCGUGGCUAUGUUAGGUCGGGUGCCCAGGGAGGCGAGCCUGAGAGUACGAUUUUAAAUGAGUUCUGAAGAAGUGAGAAUCCUGCAAACUGCCAAUGAGCAGCAAAGGGACCUGAAGUCGGUUGGCAGAGUUCCAUCUUGGCUACUCCAGCUCAAUUCUCAGAAAGUCCCAAUGAGGCAACUUUGGCGAAAUUUCCAUCAUCCAACCAUUUAUGUCAGGUACCGUGCCAAGGACCUAAACUCAUUUAAUCCUCACACCAGUGCUCUGGGAUGGAUACUGUUGUUUGCUGCUAAAGAAACAGGGAUAAAGAGAGGUGAAGUAUUUGCUAAAGGUCACAUCCUGUCUGAGACCAGCUUCCCUGAAAGCAGGCUCUGAGGCAGAGAUCUGCAUCUGGGAGGUGUGGUGGAGACCGACCCUGGUAAAAACCCCCUUAGGCAGGUGAGAGCACCAGGACUGGGGGAGGGAGAAGUUGAACUGUGACACGAGAUCUCGGUGGACCCUUCAAGGCCCUGGAGUUGUCCUGCAUUGGAGGCCAAGGAGUCAGGCCUUUAUAUUCCUUUGUGGAUGACUCCUCAGCUGCCAGACUGCCUGGGCGAGGGGUAUAUCUUUAAGCUAAGGGAGCUCUCUUCACUGGAGAAGGACUUCUGGAAACUGCAACUGCUAAGCAGCCAACACUUCGGGCACCGGAAUUAUGAAAGCCCCAGCCCCGAAAGGAGAGUUUGAGCAGCGGGUCACCGUCCCCAGGACACACCGUGCCUUAGUUUCUAGUUCUGUGUAACAAGCUACCCUCACAUUUAAGGAUCAAAAUAACAAAUAGUUAUUAUCUCAUCGUUUCUGUGGGUCAGCAAUCCGGGGAUGGCUUUGCUGAGUGCCUCUAGCUCAGGAUGUUAAAGCAUAAAUUGUUCUAGCACCUGUUAACGUGGUAAGGAAGACUUCAGUCCAGAUUCUUGGAAUACGCGUCCGGACUAUCCCCAGGUGAGAAAGCUUGGGCUCAACUCCAAAUCCAGCAAAGACUGCUGGGAACUUGUAGCCAACAAGUGGAAUGAGGGGGUUAGUGGAUGAAAAAAAAGAUAUUACUAAGGGGAGACACCAAGGGUAGGGUGAUUCUUGCUAAACUAACAGGAUUCUUGCUGAAGGCAGGCCAGGGUGAUGAGAUAUCAAGGGUGGAGAAGGAAGAAUAUAAUCAGAUACCAAGGGUGAGGAGAUUCUUGCUAAACUUACUUAGUAGAAUUCUUAUUAUACCUGGGCUAUGCAGGCCCGGCAAGGACAGGGAGCCAAGGUCAAGGCCUCAUUAAGGAAAGGGCUCAGAGGAGGCCGACUGCAGUUUGUACAAGCAGAGUGUCUUUGUCAAGGUCUCUCACGAGGUUACGAGGUUACAGUCAAAGCUGUUGGCCAGGGCGGUGGUCUUACCUGACAGCUUGACCUGGAGAAGGGGAAGGAUUCUAGGAAGAAGGCAGAGUAAGAAGCACCAGGAUAUCUGUCUCCCCAUUUAGUGGACAAUUGUACUGUCAGAAUGUGUCUGAUGUAACUGUUCUGGAACUCUGAAGUUUGCUGAAGGCUCUGCAGGGAAGACCUGGAGAGUAAAUUACCUUCACUUUGAUCAAUUUCAGCUGUUAGCCACCAUAGCAACUACCCAUCCCCCAAUGGCUUGGAACUGUACCUUUAGUUUUCUGCAUGAGACUGAUACGUUUAAAGAAAAAGAUUGUUAGUGUGAAAACUAGUAUUACUGUAUCUUCGGUUUGUGACUCCACACUUUGUUUUCUAUAUAAUUUAGGAGAAUAGUGAAUUUAAAAGAAUUAUUCAUUUGUUUGGGGGCACACAAUGUAUAAAGAUGAUAUCAGCAAUCAAAAGGGGUAAGGACAGAGCUAUAAAGGAGCAGAGUUUUUGUAUGUUAUUGAAGGUAUAAAUUCAAAUGAGAGCAUUAUAAAUUUAGAAUCUUAAAUGUAAUCCCAUGGGAACCACAAAGAAAAUAGCUGUAUAAUAUACACAGAAGGAAAUGGGAAAGGAAUUUAAACAACUCACUACAAAAAAUAAACUAAACAGAAAAGAAGAGCGUAAGGCAGGAAAUGAGAGACAAAAAAGUUACAGGACAUAUGGAAUACAAAUAGCACUAUGCCAGGAGUAAGUCCCUCUUGAUAAGUAAUUAAGUGUAAUAAAUUUAACUUGCCAUUCAGAAGACAAAGAUUGGCAGAAUGGGCAAACACACAACCUAACUCUAUGCGAUCUAUAAGACUCACUUGAGAUCCAAAGGCACUAUCAAGUGGAAAGGGGAGGAUAGAAAAAGAUAUUCCAAGUAAUAGUCACCAGGAGAGAGCAGAGGUGGCCAUAUUAAUAUCAAUUGAUUUUAUUU